UUCGGGUUGUAAACCNCUUUUAGCAGGGAAGAAGCGAGAGUGACGGUACCUGCAGAAAAAAGCGCCGGCUAACUACGUGCCAGCAGCCGCGGUAAUACGUAGGGCGCAAGCGUUAUCCGGAAUUAUUGGGCGUAAAGAGCUCGUAGGCGGUUUGUCGCGUCUGCUGUGAAAUCCCGAGGCUCAACCUCGGGCCUGCAGUGGGUACGGGCAGACUAGAGUGCGGUAGGGGAGAUUGGAAUUCCUGGUGUAGCGGUGGAAUGCGCAGAUAUCAGGAGGAACACCGAUGGCGAAGGCAGAUCUCUGGGCCGUAACUGACGCUGAGGAGCGAAAGGGUGGGGAGCAAACAGGCUUAGAUACCCUGGUAGUCCACCCCGUAAACGUUGGGAACUAGUUGUGGGGACCAUUCCACGGUUUCCGUGACGCAGCUAACGCAUUAAGUUCCCCGCCUGGGGAGUACGGCCGCAAGGCUAAAACUCAAAGGAAUUGACGGGGACCCGCACAAGCGGCGGAGCAUGCGGAUUAAUUCGAUGCAACGCGAAGAACCUUACCAAGGCUUGACAUACACCAGAACACCGUAGAAAUACGGGACUCUUUGGACACUGGUGAACAGGUGGUGCAUGGUUGUCGUCAGCUCGUGUCGUGAGAUGUUGGGUUAAGUCCCGCAACGAGCGCAACCCUCGUUCUAUGUUGCCAGCACGUAAUGGUGGGAACUCAUGGGAUACUGCCGGGUCAACUCGGAGGAAGGUGGGGAUGACGUCAAAUCAUCAUGCCCCUUAUGUCUUGGGCUUCACGCAUGCUACAAUGGCCGGUACAAAGGGCUGCAAUACCGUGAGGUGGAGCGAAUCCCAAAAAGCCGGUCCCAGUUCGGAUUGAGGUCUGCAACUCGACCUCAUGAAGUCGGAGUCGCUAGUAAUCGCAGAUCAGCAACGCUGCGGUGAAUACGUUCCCGGGUCUUGUACACACCGCCCGUCAAGUCAUGAAAGUCGGUAACACCUGAAGCCGGUGGCCCAACCCUUGUGGAGGGAGCCGUCGAAGGUGGGAUCGGUAAUUAGGACUAAGUCGUAACAAGGUAGCCGUACCGGAAGGUGCGGCUGGAUCACCUCCUUU
rnacentral:rRNA from 1 species